GAUGAACGCUGGCGGCGUGCCUAAUACAUGCAAGUCGAGCGAACAGACCAGGAGCUUGCUCCUCUGACGUUAGCGGCGGACGGGUGAGUAACACGUGGAUAACCUACCUAUCCGACUGGGAUAACUUCGCCAAAUCGGAGCUAAUACCGGAUAAUAUAUUGAACCGCAUGGUUCAAUAGUUAAAGACGGUUUUGCUGUCACUUAUAGAUGGAUCCGCGCCUCAUUCGUUAGUUGGUGAGGUAACGGCUUACCAAAGCUACGAGGCGUAGACGACCUGAGGGGGUCGAUGGCCAGACUGGAACAGAGAAAGGGCCGAGACACCGGCGGGGAGCAGCAGUAGGGAAUCUUACGCGAGGGGGGAGAGCUGAACGGAGCAACGCCGCGGAAAGGAUGAAGGUGUUCGGAUCGGAAAGCUCUGUUAUUAGGAGAGAACAAAUGUGUAAGUAACUAUGCACGUCUUGACAGUACCUAAUCAGAAAGCCACGGCUAACUACGUG
rnacentral:rRNA from 1 species